rnacentral:misc_RNA from 1 species
AAGUCGUAACAAGGUUUCCGUAGGUGAACCUGCGGAAGGAUCAUUAACACGUUAUCCACGUAUCAACCAACGCGAACUGUUUUCACUUUCCCCUCCGGACCAUUGAGUUGAGGGCCUGUAGAGCUGUAUGAAUGGGGCACGUUUGUGCCGGCUCUACUCGCCUCUGCCUUAGCGUAGUUACCUACGUUGGGUCGGCAAUUCACAUAAGGAGGACUCCUCUCAGCGAUCUGCCUCCAUUCAUUGGCGUUUCAAUGGGAACUCAUUUACAUUAUUCACCCACUUUUUGCUAGUUGACUUUUAUAUGUUGUAUCAUUGCUUCGGCACUGGUGCACACGUUUAAUUAUUUGAACGUUAAAAAUACAACUCUUAGCAAUGGAUAUCUAGGUUCUC